GACGAACGCUGGCGGCGUGCUUAACACAUGCAAGUCGAGCGGUAAGGCCCUUUCGGGGGUACACGAGCGGCGAACGGGUGAGUAACACGUGGGUGACCUGCCCUCAGCUCUGGGAUAAGCCUGGGAAACUGGGUCUAAUACCGGAUAUGACUCCAUGACGCAUGUUGUGGGGUGGAAAGCCUUGUGCGGCUGAGGAUGGGCCCGCGGCCUAUCAGCUUGUUGGUGGGGUGANGGCCUACCAAGGCGACGACGGGUAGCCGGCCUGAGAGGGCGACCGGCCACACUGGGACUGAGACACGGCCCAGACUCCUACGGGAGGCAGCAGU
rnacentral:rRNA from 1 species